ACGGUACACUUGCGAAGUUCGCAGGGCAUUCUAAGUGGAGGAUAUACCGUCAGGUUCUAACUGAGUUAAACGAAGUAACAGCGCAAAUGCCGGUCAAACCACAACCGGACGACUUGUGCCGUCGUAGUAGUCACAGCAUGUUUUCAGGGGACGCUAUACCAUGGAUAAGUAAAACUACCGGCGAAUAAUUGUCUCCGCGCUGAGUGCCGGCGCUCGUCGCUUGACGGCCUGCCGCUCGCGAAAGCAAACUGCAUGCCGGUCAAACCACAACCGGACGACUUGUGCCGUCGUAGUAGUCACAGCUGCCUGUUUUCAGGGGAGGCUAUACCAUGGAUAAGUAAAACUACCGGCAAAUAAUUGUCUCCGCGCUAAGUGCCGGCGCUCGUCGCUUGACGGCCGGCCGCUCGCGAAAGCAAACUGCCGGUCAAACCACAACCAGACAACUCUGUUGCCGUCACGGCGUGCGUUUUCAGACGUGGCGACGGCGUGGGUCUAAAUGCUGGCACUCUUUGCUUGACGGCCGCUCGCGAAAUGAAACUCGCAAAUACCGGUGCGCUAAGUGCCAGCGCUCUUGACGGCCGGCCGCAAAAGCAAACUGCCGGCCAAACCAGAACCGGACAACUGUUGCCGUCACGGCGUGCGUUUUCGGAUGUGGCGACGGCGUGGGUAAGUCAAACUACCGGCAUAUAAUUGUUCUCUCACUAAAUGCCGGCAUCUUCGCUUGACGGCCACUCGCGAAAUGACACUCGGCAAAUACACCCGUGCCGGCAAAGCGCUUUUUGCCUCAGGAUUCCGGCAUUAACCACGUGACUACAGCCGGCCAAUGAGGAGACACUGCCGGCCAAGUUCCGCUCGCGCAAUUCAGCCGGAUGCCGGGCGAAUAUCCACUCCCUACAUGUUUAUCGUGUAUUGUGUGCGUUUAUUGCGUGCUUAUCGUACGCGACAUUCGUCGACUGGGCAUUUUCCGCGUGUUGGGGCGUUCUCCUGCCUUGAUCCAGUGGCGGAUGAUGGUCGUUGUUCGUUGCCGCUCAACACAGCCUCACGGGACGCGCAGCUUUGUGUCCGCGCUCAAAAGUGCUUUCUUGCUUCGUUCAUCGACUACUCACGUUGAUCGAGUGAUCGAGUGUACUUCCGAAGACAAUCCGCGUCCGAGUGUUUUGACAAGCGGCGACCGCGGUUCCAUAGGAGCGGAAGCUUGAGCCUUUUGACGAGCGACUGUGAAGAGUGCCAAUGCCAAACUUGGGAACCGUCGUGUUGGCACAGCGAGGAUGAUCAACCAGAUACCCGAUAGGCAGCGAUGAGAGCUGUUCAUGGCACCGACACAGAGGACAGGUUGCAGUACAAGAUAGGAGCAUACUUCCUGCAAGCCCGGGCAAGCCAUAAUGAGUGGUUUCAAAUACAGCAACUGUACCACCACAACAGUGCAGCACAGGAGAGCCUAUCAUCAGUGCCGCGUCGAGAAAUUAAAUAAAAAAGCGCUUACUCCUGGA